CGGGACGGGCAGGAUCCCGGCCUGGCGGAGGACGGCUGGCUCUUCCGCGGGUAGCGGUGCGCCGCUCCGGGAGCGGUGCUUCCGCCGCGAUGCGCGGCCACUGCUAGCUACCGGCGCCGCGCUGGAGGGAGGGUGGCGGGGUGCGACCCCGGUGGGCGGAGGACCGGGAGCCCGGAAGGUGAAUUGAGGUGGGCGCCCGCUCGCGGCUGCACCUGCCCUGGUCGCCCCUAAACUGUCCGGCCUAGUGGGCUUGGGUAAGUGGGCCGGGGCGGCGGUUCCGGCUGUAGAGAACGAGUGUGCGAGAGCGAGUGGGUGUAAUGGCAACGCGAAAAGCCUUGUUUCCAAAAUGAAAACGCGUGAUUUUAAAAUGAUUUCCGGAGAAAAAUGCGGCGGAGUUGGGGGGUGGGGUGGAUGGAGGGACGUAGAGGCCGUUAAAUAUCUGCUAGACACGGACGUGUCGUUCAUUCCAGAAGUGUCUCUCGAGACUCAGCAGGUUCAAGGCGCUGGAGAAAGGCCAGGGCCCAGCUCUUUGGGAAGCUUACCUUCUAGUGGGGUAGAGGGAUUUAAGCAGACAGACAAGGUAACGACAGAUUGUGGUGAGGCUGUGCAGGAAAUACAUAAGAAUGAUGUGAGAGAUUGUGUGGGCGAGACCCCUUUUUCAGGAUAGGAUGGCUAGAGAACCAACCUCUAGAGGGAGGUGAUAGUUGAGCAGCUUCCUGGGGAAAAGGCACGAAAUACACUUAGCCACAAUUUUAUAGACAGGGACUACAGGUUCCAGAACCUGCUUGAGUAAGCCCACGGAUUCCAUGUGAAGAACCUGUCUCUAACGCCUUCUAAGGGCUGUCUGCGUGCUGUCCACCCUUGCAAUUUCACAAGGCUUGCUCACCCUUUCGAGUUGAUGGAGCCUGGGAAUAUGGCUCUCUUAGCGGAGGUUCAAGGCAUGAGAUAGGGAACGUUGGUCUCCAGACAGAGAGACCAACGUCAAUAGGCGCUUCCGGGGGAGAAUUACACCAUCAGCCUUGAAAGAUAAAUUCUUUAACCUUUUACCAUUUCUUUUUCCAUGUCACUUUUUCUCAGACCCAUGAGUAAACAUUAAAACUAUUAUUUUUACCUGGGAUCAAGAGGAGUUUGGGGCACCUGGGUGGCCCAGUCGGUUAAGUGUUUGCCUUUGGGUCAGGUCAUGAUCCCAGCUCCUGGGGAUCAACCCCCGGUCAGGCUCCCUGCUCAACGGGGAGUCUCCUUCUCCCUCUCCCUCUCCCUCUCCCCCUCCAUCCCGUUUGUGCUCUCUCUGUCAUUCUGUCUCUCUCAAGUAAAUAAAUAAAAUCUUAAAAAAAAAAAAAAAAAUAGAGGCGCUUUAAUCUUCCCAAAAGGUUCUACUCUGUUAUCAUCUGAAUAAAAGAAUUAAUGGCCUAUCUUGCUAAAUCAGUUAAAGUCAAAAUAAAAAGCUGACUUGCAAAAGAGAGGACCUAUUCAGGUAUUAAUGCAUUACCUGAAUAAUACCAAUAAAUCCAAUAAUGUUUAUUAAAUAUUAGUUUAUAUAACUGCAUAAUUAAUAGAACAAUUGUUUGGAUAAUAGUAGGAUUAGAUUCUCUUGCCCUUUUUAUUUACGCUGUAGCCAUUUGUUUUGAUGCAUACCACACUAACAGGGAAAGAAAUAUUUUGUUGUGUCUUCUGGGAAAACUGGGAAGGACCUCACACUUACUGCUACCUACUGUUUGCACAGCAUUGUGCUAGGCAAUUAAAUAUAUUAUCCCUUUCAGUACUAGGACCAACCUUGAGAUAUGGGGAUUAUUAUACCCAUUUUAGGAGCAAAGACAUUGAGAUUCAGAGACUGUGACUAGCCUAAGGUAACAAAACUAGUAGCUGGAAGAGUCAGAAUUUGAACUCAGGUCUUUCUAGCCCUAAUUCCCCUUUUACUUUGCACCGAGUUGCUAAACUCUAAUAUUUAAGAAGGAAAUAUAAGUGAAAUGUCCAGCCAAGCAGAUUUCUAUGUUGCUUUAAUAAGCUUAAAGUACAGUGAGAUGAGGCAAUUUGGGAGCUUCUCUGGGUUUUCAAUUCUCCCUCUGUAGGAUAUUUGCCAUCUAUUUGGCACUGAAAAAGCUACUCAUAAAAGUUCAUAAUGCCGUGUGUCUUUUGAAUGCUCCCAGGAAUGUGGUAAAUUAUGACACUAACGUUUUAUCAUUGCAAGGGGGUCCUGCCUAAAUGUGUCCCUCUGAAUUCUUUCACAAGCAGUCUUUCCUUGCACAUCAAGUGAUUUCUUUCUGCCAAAAAUAUGUGUUCCCAGAUUUUUAUGGAAUAUUGUGACAUGUGAAUGCCCCCAGGUCUGUGUAGGCUGGCUGCUCUAGGGACAUUUAAUGGAUGAAGGAAAAUCUUGCAAAUGUUUAUACAGUUUUGAGGAAUGAAGUGGUAGGAUUUGUACAUUUUUGUUCCUUUCAUAUCAGAUCUUCCACGUUUUUCUUUGAUGAUGUCAAGAAAUACAAGUUUUCCUUUCUCAAGAGCAAACACUCAUUUUUGUGGUUUUUGCAAAAUUAAGUUGUUUUUUGCAAACAAUACUAUGUUUCACUCUCUACAUGUCUCUGGAAAAUAUCAUUAGUUCAAACAUUAAAAAUAGGAUGACAGUUUUCAGAGCCUAAUAUUUUUAUUAGUAAAGUUUGUGCCUGUCUGUCUGUCUUGGAAACAUUUUUUAAAAUUUUGGUUAACUCCUUACAAACCUAUGGAAAUUUGGCAAAGCAAGUCCUCAACUAUGUAUAUUUAAAUUCUCUUUCUAAAAAUACCUUCUUAUCUCCCUUUACUAUUUUUCCUCCUGUCUCCUUUUUUUAUUAAUUUACUUAUUUCACUUAUUUGGAAAUAAUUAUAGACUCACAAGAAGUUGCAAAGAUAAUACAGAAAGGUUCUGUGUACCCUUUACCCAGGUUUCCCCGGUAGCAUCUUAUAUACCCAUAAUACAUUAUUAAAACUAGAAAAUUAACAUCUUGCUAUCUUCUUUAGGUUUUUAGUUUCUUUUUAUGUUUCAUUAUAUCCAAAAAUUACCAUUUUUAUACCAUUUUGUAAAUUCAUCUUUAUUGUACUUGAUUUGGCUCUUCUCCCUUUCCUAAAUUAAUAAAUGACAAAGUCAGUAAGCUUGCCACAGUGCUCCUGGAAUUACAAGUUUACUAAAAACUUCUUUUCAGCACACUUAAAAAGAAGUCAUUUGUAAGAUUUCUGCUUUUUUUUCUGCUUAUACUGUUCCAUGUCAUUCUGCCCUAAUAAACCUGUAAAUGUAUAUACAACCUGUGUAUGUGUGUGUUUUAAUUUAUCCUCUGACCACUGAAAUGUUUUCAAAGAGAUUGCUGUUAAAAUUAAAAGAAAAAUAGGGGCACCUGGGUGGCUCAUUUGGGUGUCUGACUCAAUUUCAGCUCUGGUCAUGAUUGCAGGAUCAUGGGAUUGAGCCUCACAUUAAGCUCAGCACAGAGUCUGCUUAGAAUUCUCUCUCUCCCUCUGCCCUCCCCCUCCCCCCGCCAGCUCUCUCUAAAUAAAAAAAUAAAUAGGGGCGCCUGGGUGGCUCAGUCGUUGAGCGUCUGCCUUUGGCUCGGGUCAUGAUCCCAGAGUCCUGGGAUCGAGUCCCACAUCGGGCUCCCUGCUCAGCGAGAAGCCUGCUUCUCGCUCUCCCACUCCCCCUGCUUGUGUUCCUGCUCUCGCUAUCUCUCUCUCUGUCAAAUAAAUAAAUAAAAUCUUUAAAAUAAAUAAAUAAAUAAAUAAAAUCUUCAAAAAAAUAAGAAAAAUAAUGCAAAGCUUUUUAUUUGGGGAAAAAAUGUUUCUAGGGGCACUUGGGUGGCUCAGUCAGUUAAGCAUCUGCCUUCGGCUCAGGUCAUGGUCCUGGGGUCAUGGGAUGGAGACCCGAGCCCCGUGUUAGGCUCUCCACUCAGUGGAGAAUCUGCUUCUCCCUCUGCCUCUUACCCUGCUCAUUCUCUCUAAAUAAAUAAGUAAAAUCUUUAAAAAAGUUUCGGGGCACCUGGGUGGCUCAGUUAGUUAAGCGUCUGCCUUUGGCUCAGGUCAUGAUCCUGAAAUCCCAGGAUUGAGUCCUGUGUUGGGCUCCCUGCUCAGUGGGGAUUCUGCUUCUCACUCUCCCUCUGCCCCCCCCCACCUGCUUGUGUUCUGUCUCUUUCUCUCUCUCAAAUAAAAUCUUUAAAAAAUAAAAUAAAAAUUAAAAAGUUUCUAAACAUCUAACUAUCCAAGUGAGAAUGCCACGGUCUAUUGGCUCAGAAGCCAAAUCUCACUUAAGGCUAAUUCUGGCUCUAUGUGGAUUUUCCUAGCCAGACAGCUCACUCUUUACUCCACUAGAGAGUAAACAAAGAAAAGAAGUGUAACUUACUUUCUUCAGUCUUAGUGGUGAGGAAAAGUUGAUGAGAGAAUUUGGGAUUUGGUGUAGGUAUCAAUUAUGUAUAAAUGCCUAAUCACAGAUAAUCAAAUGAUGGCUCUUCUGCAUUAUAUUUAUUGUAAAUGAGUAGUCAAACAUCUUUCAUACUAUGGCUCGUUUAGCAAAGGUAUUCAUCUAUUGUGUACCAGGUACCCAGUUAGACACUAGUAACAGGGACACAACAGGAUUGAUUUUUUUAAAGGAGUAUUAAGCUCUUACUAUGUGCCAGAUACUUCACAGAUGAUAGGGAUCCAGGAGGAAGUAAAAAGAAAGCUGUGUUUUCUUAUGAAACUUACCGUCUGAUAAGGGAGACAAAUUAUCACACAAAAGCAACUUUAUAAUCCAAAUAGAUAUUACUAAGGGUAGGGAGGUGGUGCUUGAGGGCAUCGAAAUGGAACUCAACCUAAUCUGGGGUGUCCAAAAUGGCUUCUCGCAAGAGAUGCUUUGAGCCAAGACUUAAAACUGCCUCAGGGAGGGGCACCUGGGUGGCUCAGUUGAGCGUCUGACUUUUGACUUCAGCUCAGGUCAUGAUCUCAGGAUCGUAGUAUCAAGUCCAGCAUCAGGCUCUGUGCUCAGCUUGAAGUCAGCUUGAGAUUCUCUCCCUCUGCACAACCCCACCCCACCCCCUGAUUGCAUACGCUCUCUCUCUAAAAUAAAUAAAAUCUUAAAAAAAAACUGACUCAGAGUGAACUUGAUAACAGAAGUAUCAUAAAGGGAAUACAUAAAGACUUCAUAAUGGAACCAGCUGAGUCCCAGGGCCUGAAAAGAAAUGAGGGAGAUAAUUUGAGAUUAGUCCAGAGAAUUAAGCAAGGAUCCAUCAGGCAGGGUCUUAUAGGUCUGGUAAAGAUUCCCAUCUUUGUUUCAAAAGUGAUACAAACCAAUUUAAGAGUUUUUAGUGGAAGUGACAUCAGAUUUGUGUUUCCAAAAGAUCACUCUGGCUUCAACUUGAAGAAUUCAUUAAAUAAGUCCUGAGUGCCCACUAUAGGCCAAGUUCCAGUCUGCAUGCUGAGUACACAGCACUGAACAAAACAGAAAGAUCCCCAGUCUUUGAGGAUCUUCUGGACAAUAUACAAUGAUAGUACAUAAAAUCGUGAGAAGCUCUAUAAAGAAUAUUGGAACCCAGAACAAUAUUAGGUUCAUUUGAUUCAACGUGGUUGAAUGACACCUAAUACUUACUCGGAAGACUCAGAGAAGACCUCUGAUGAAGUGAUCCAAAGAAAGAGUCAAGUCAUUCAAAUACCUAGGAGAAGAGCAUCCCAAGCAAAGGGACAGAAAAUGCAAAGACGCUAAAGCAAAAAUGUACUUGCCAUGUUUGAGUAGCAACAGCAGACCAGUGUGGCUGAAGAGUAAUAGACAACAGGGAAGAAUGGAAUUAGGGACCAGAUCAUAGUAGAUCUUGAAGACUAUCAUAAGAAACUGCCUUUUCCUUUCUGAAUGAGGUGGUUCGCAGAACAUUGUAGGAGAAGCUGGCCUAAAGGAACCUCUAACUGACACUGUGGUCGUCUCGCGGGCGUCCAUUUCAUCCGGCUCCCGGCCCAUGCACGCGGAAGGUCUUCCAUGCUGUUGAGAAGAAUAAAGUGGCAUACUUUCAAUUCUCAAGGGACACUUUGAAGAGGAUGGGCUGGAGUGCCACAGUCUACCAUGGAUUCUACUACUGGAAACUCAGUCCCCUUCCCAUGUGGUAUUAUUUUAGUUUGAAGAGUUCAGAGUGGGAUAAAUGUAGAAUUAAGGAAUACAGAGUCUCCAAGAUUGCCUGGAUGUUGAAGGAGCAUGGGUCAACUUCUGUGGGUAAAGGUAAAAGUUUUCCUAAAGAUCGGUAGCGAUUUGCAAUGUAGAAGCUAGAAGAGGAUGCUCCAGCAGAGUGGUCCUUAUGGACAGAGAUAAGGGAAGAAGAUUAAGAUCUGGGAAUGGAUAAUUUCAAGUUAUAUCCUAUCAAGGAUAUAAUUUUUAAAAAAAAUUUUUCUUUUUUAUUUUUCAAAGUAAUCUCUACACUCAACAUGGAGCUUAAACUCACAACCCCGAGAUCAAGAGUCACACACUCGUCUGACUGAGCCAGCCAGGCACCCCAAGGUUAUAACUUUUGAAGAGUUUUUUUUUUUCCUUAAACUGUGGUAAAAGUUGUAUUUAGCAUAUAGUGUUUUUUUGUUUUCAUUUGGGAAUAUAGUUGACAUAGAGUGUUACAUUAGUUUCAGGUGUACAACUUGGUGAUUUGACAAAUUUAUAUGUUAUAUACGUUUAGCACAAGUGUAGUUACCAUCUGUCGCAUUAUAUAGCUAUUACAGUAUCAUUGACUGGAUUCCUGAUGCUGUGCCUUUUAUUCCCAUGACCUACUCACUCCGUAACUGGAAGUCUGUAUCUCCCACUCCCCUUCACCUAUUUUGCCCAAUCCCCCGCCCCCUAUUUAGCAUAUAGUUUAAAUUUCUUCCUUUAAUAUGCCAUAAUUCCUUUAGUGUUUUCCAGUCUGCUAAUGCAUUUGAUAAGUCUGCAUGUCUUUUUUUUUUUUUUUAAGAUUUUAUUCAUUUAUUUGAGAGAGAAAGUGUGAGAGAGAGAAAGCAUGAGAGGAGGGAGGGUCAGAGGGAGAAGCAGACUCCCCGCUGAGCGGGGAGCCUGAUGUGGAACUCGAUCCUGGGACUCCAGGAUCAUGACCUGAGCCGAAGGCAGAUGCUUCACUGACUGAGCCACCCAGGCACCCCUGCUAAGUCUGCAUGUCUUGAGUAGGGCCGUAAUGGAAGGAAAUGAGAGCUGGGUCCAUAAGGAUAUUUGGUAUCUCCCCCAAAUGCAACUUGUUUUUCUCCUCCCUCCUGAUUCUCAUCCUACAAAGUCCCUUAGAGGUAUAGCAUCAAGGUACCCAGGGAGACUGCAGUCCUGAUUUCCAGACUGAGACCAAUAACAAAAACAAAUGAAGAGCGUUCUCAUGGUGGAAUGGGAUUUAGGAGAGACUUUAAGAAGAACCUUGGAAGAUCAAGGAACACUCUAUUUCCCCAUAUUUACUUAGAGGGAGUUGUCCCUUAGGGGAAAAGGAAAAGCUAUUAUCUGAGUUACAUGAAUUUUAUAAUAUAAUCUGAGAGAUCUAUAAUAACAUAUAUACUUGUGACUGAAUUUUAACUUUGCUUUUAAUUAAAUGGAAAUCAAAAUACCAUUUGUUAUCUUUUUAUUGUCAAAAAUUUUUUAAAAUAUAGAAAUGGGGGCGUGCCUGGGUAGCUCAGUCAGUUAAGCGUCUGCCUUUGGCUCAGGCCAUGAUCCCAGGGUCCUGGGAUCGAGCCCCACCAUCGGGUUCCCUGCUCAGUUGGGAGUCUGCUUCUCCCUCUCCCAUGCCCCUCCCCCCUGCUUGUGUGCUCUCUCUUUCUCCAAGAAAUAAAAUCUUAAAAAAAAUGGAACUGGGCAUUUCCACUGUGGAUAGAAACAUAAAUUGGUAUUGGGGCACAUGGGUGGCUCAGUCGGUUAAGUGUCUGCCUUCGGUUCAGGUCAUGAUCCCAGGGCCCUAGGAUCGAGCCCUGCAUCAGGCUCUCUGCUUAGUGUGGAGUCUGCUUCUCCCUCUCCCUCUGCCCCUCCCCUCUGCUCAUGUUCUGUCUUUCACUCUCUCUUUUUCAAAUAAAUAAAUAAAAUCUUUAAAAAAAUAAAAAAAGAAACAAAUUGGUAUUCAUUUUGGAGAUCAAGUUGGCAUUAACUAUACAUAAUGAAUGGAUUCUUCAACUACCUUUCUGGGAAUCCAUUAUUUUCCACAGAAACAUACACAAAAGUACACAAACAUAUUUAUAAAGUUGUUCACUUUAAUAUUGUUUAAUAGCAAAAACUGGGGAGAAGUGAAAUAUCCAUUAACACAUGGAAACCGAGACAUCAAUCGUAACUACUUUAUCCAUAGUAUAAAAUACUAUGCAGUCAUUAAAGUGACUGAAAUACAGGUACUGAUUGGAAAUGAUAUUCAUGGCGUGUUAAUUGAGAAAAGCAAAAUGGAGAAUAUGUAUGAUCCAUUUUUAAUAAAACAAAUUAAAAUUAAAUUAAUAAAAUAAAUUAAAACUACAAAUACAUAGAUAAUUACAUUUACACAUCUCUAUAUUUUCAUUAAUACAGAAACAAAAUGGAAAGAAUACAACUAAAUUAUUAAUAGGGGUUAUUUGGGGGGAUAAGAUCAUACAGUUGACCCUUGAACAAUGCGGGGGUUAGGGGUACCAACCUCCCGCAUAGUUGAAAAAUCUGUGUGUAACUUUUGUCUCCCCCAAAACUUAACCAAUAAUGACCCGCCUACUGUUGACCAAAAGCCUUAUUAAAUAGUCGACUAACAUGUAUUUUGUAUGUUAUAUGUAUUAUAGACUGUAUUCAUACAAUAAAGCAAAGAGAAAA